ACUUUUUCUCAACAACCGAGGAGAUGCUGGACGGGCUCUGACAUUUACAGAGAUGUUCGCUUUUUUCUUUUGAGGAGCUAAGAAAAGAAAUUUGUAUAACUCAGACCAUCCCUCUUUUGAAAUGUCAGAUUCAGGCAUGUCGGAGCGUUUUUUCUUUUUUUUUUGUUUUUCCAGCAUGUUGGACUCAUAGACUCAUUCAUUAAAUCCAGCUUGGACCGGGGGAGUAUUUUUCUUUCCUGUUAACGCUGACAGUUUGUGGGGUUAAGAACAACUGCCAAGCUGAUUAUAUUUAAGUAACUGUUAAACUGUGUGAUGAUCAGAAAAGGAGAAUGAACCAAGACCAGUUUGGUGUUUGCAUGUCGGAGAGAGACGGAGCUUCACAGAGGCUCUGCUUUAGCUCAGGUGUUAUGUGCCUCAGGACAGAAAGUGUGCUGUUUUCAACCGUGUGCAUGUCGUGACAUAUAAUGGGUACUUUGCUGGUAGUUUGUACAUGCAAAACGGCUGUUGCAGGUGCGUGUGUGUGUUCCGUGUGUGGGUGUGUUAUCUUGCAAAAGAGAGAGAGAGAGAGAGAGAGAGAGAGAGAGAAAGGGAAGAAGAGGAAUAGGAAGUGAGAGAGGAAAAGUGAGAGUUGCAUGGAGCUCAACACGGUUCGCCACAGAUGGUUAUUGUUUAGAAUUCCAGGGUCGUGAUCUCAUGCUGCGCUCUGCCUCUAUCUCACAGACCCUGUAGGCUAUGAAUUAAUCAAACGAAACACAGGCCUUGAUAUUGUAAGUGCUCUGCUAUCAGAUUACAGACUACAGCCCCUGUCAACAGAAAUGGGAUUACUCCAGGAAUAGGCAGAGACACUUGUGAUUAAAGCUGCAGCCGGCAGCUCUCUGCAGAGGAAGGCCAGUCCUGCAAAUGUCCAGAAACUCAUAUUUCAAACAUCACAGGGCGUCUGCGAUCAUCUCACCUCCAGUCUGCAGGACAGAGGUAGGCUUCCUCUCUCUUUCUACUCUGUUUACUUUGCUGUUCAGGGGGGUAUCCUGUCUGUGCACGCUCUUUCUUCUUCCUCUGUCUCCUCAGCCAAUCACAGCGAGGAUGUCAGCAGGAGAAGCCUCUGAUAGAUAACGUCCCAAAAAAGCCUCUUUGUUUGCACACGGCAACCAGCAAAGGAGCCUUUGAUGAGAUGAAGUGUCCCGCCUGUCGCCCACUGCCCCACACCUCCCAUUAUCUCCUGCGUCUCCUCCUCCUCCUCCCUGUGUGUGUGUGUGAUCCCGGCGCAGAGCGAGGCGGGACUGAAGCGUUUAGCUGCUGUCAGUCAGCGAGAACGAGGAUGCAGAAGACGAGCUGUCUUGGCUGACUGCGAGCAAACGAGCCACAGAGGCCCCAUUACUUUCCCCGCUUGUCAGGAAGGAGUUAACCCCGAGAGGGGAGGCCAAACAUUAGGCUCAAUGGUAACUGAGUGUGUAAUUAAUGCCGCAAUGUGUCCAGUCCCCAGGACCUCCUCAACCUCUGGAGCCUUUCUCAGAGUCUGGAGGAGAGGGAGAGGUCAGUCAGAGGAGAGGGGGGCAUCCGGGCCCCCUUAUGCCACUGCAUCUGUCCAGAGAGGGGAUAGAGUCUCCGCCGGGGCCUCAGGCGAAUGACCCUUGUCAGCCAUGAAGUUAUGGGAGACAACAGAGUGGUCUCCGAUGACGGAUGUGAGGAGCGAGAGAACAUUUCAAGUCCCAUGAUUUACAGACUUUGUUUCGUGGGUCGAUUUGAUUAUUGUGACACGCAAAAAAUAACACAAACACCCUAAAACAGGCCUGAAGGGCUCCGUGAAGGGAGCAGACACAAAGACCACAAACAAGAGAAUAAAGAAACAACAACACUUUAUAUGAAAAUCCUUCUGAUAAACGUUAACUCACACUUUAGAGCCGGUAUGUUAUAAACUCCUGUUAGAGCUUUAUUGAUGCUGUAUAACAUCUAAUUAAAGUUAAUGAGCGGUCUUUACAUUGUUUAUGCUGAGUGUUACAGUUCAUUAAGAAUUUAAUAAAUGUUUAUACAGUCAUAUUAACAUAAAUAAACAUUUGAUUACAUUUAAAAA